UCCUGGCUCAGGAUGAACGCUGGCGGCGUGCCUAAUACAUGCAAGUCGAACGAACUUCCGUUAAUUGAUUAUGACGUACUUGUACUGAUUGAGAUUUUAACACGAAGUGAGUGGCGAACGGGUGAGUAACACGUGGGUAACCUGCCCAGAAGUAGGGGAUAACACCUGGAAACAGAUGCUAAUACCGUAUAACAGAGAAAACCGCAUGGUUUUCUUUUAAAAGAUGGCUCUGCUAUCACUUCUGGAUGGACCCGCGGCGUAUUAGCUAGUUGGUGAGGUAAAGGCUCACCAAGGCAGUGAUACGUAGCCGACCUGAGAGGGUAAUCGGCCACAUUGGGACUGAGACACGGCCCAGACUCCUACGGGAGGCAGCAGUAGGGAAUCUUCCACAAUGGACGCAAGUCUGAUGGAGCAACGCCGCGUGAGUGAAGAAGGGUUUCGGCUCGUAAAGCUCUGUUGUUAAAGAAGAACGUGGGUAAGAGUAACUGUUUACCCAGGACGGUAUUAACCAGAAAGCC
rnacentral:rRNA from 1 species